rnacentral:rRNA from 1 species
AUUGAGCCAAACAAAAUCUUAAAUUGAAGAGUUUGAUCAUGGCUCAGAUUGAACGCUGGCGGCAGGCCUAACACAUGCAAGUCGAGCGGAAACGAGUU